GCCUAACACAUGCAAGUCGAACGGUAACAGAAAGCAGCUUGCUGCUUUGCUGACGAGUGGCGGACGGGUGAGUAAUGUCUGGGAAACUGCCCGAUGGAGGGGGAUAACUACUGGAAACGGUAGCUAAUACCGCAUAACGUCGCAAGACCAAAGAGGGGGACCUUCGGGCCUCUUGCCAUCGGAUGUGCCCAGAUGGGAUUAGCUAGUAGGUGGGGUAACGGCUCACCUAGGCGACGAUCCCUAGCUGGUCUGAGAGGAUGACCAGCCACACUGGAACUGAGACACGGUCCAGACUCCUACGGGAGGCAGCAGUGGGGAAUAUUGCACAAUGGGCGCAAGCCUGAUGCAGCCAUGCCGCGUGUAUGAAGAAGGCCUUCGGGUUGUAAAGUACUUUCAGCGGGGAGGAAGGGAGUAAAGUUAAUACCUUUGCUCAUUGACGUUACCCGCAGAAGAAGCACCGGCUAACUCCGUGCCAGCAGCCGCGGUAAUACGGAGGGUGCAAGCGUUAAUCGGAAUUACUGGGCGUAAAGCGCACGCAGGCGGUUUGUUAAGUCAGAUGUGAAAUCCCCGGGCUCAACCUGGGAACUGCAUCUGAUACUGGCAAGCUUGAGUCUCGUAGAGGGGGGUAGAAUUCCAGGUGUAGCGGUGAAAUGCGUAGAGAUCUGGAGGAAUACCGGUGGCGAAGGCGGCCCCCUGGACGAAGACUGAC
rnacentral:rRNA from 1 species